GUGCCAGCAGCCGCGGUAAUACGUAGGGUGCAAGCGCUAAUCGGAAUGACUGGGCGUAAAGCGUGCGUAGGCGGUGAUGUAAGACAGUCGUGAGAUCCCCGGGCUCAACCUGGGAAUUGCGAUUGUGACUGCAUCGCUGGAGAGCGGCAGAGGGGGAUGGAAUUCCGCGUGUAGCAGUGAAAUGCGUAGAUAUGCGGAGGAACAACGAUGGCGAAGGCAAUCCCCCGGGCCUGCACUGACGCUCAUGCACGAAAGCGUGGGGAGCAAACAGGAUUAGAUACCCCGGUAGUCCCCGCCCUAA
rnacentral:rRNA from 1 species